CACCACAGGUUCUGUACCGGAAACAGAAUUGAUUAGUUCACCUCUGGAGUUUUUGGUUCACUUCACAGCCCCACUGCCUUCGGAAUAUGGGGCAGUCACAUGAUGAACGAAUGCCUCGAACCUGAAGACUUGAAACGUGAACUAAUCAAAUGUGACGUGACAAAAGAAGAACGAUUCGGAUCGGGAGGAGCUGAGUGCUUCCAGAGGCUGCGGGAGGUCCUUUGCUGCACCUUGGGCUUUACUUAAUUAAGGGUUGUUAUUAUUGCUGUGUUUAUUUGCAGUGAAUUUUGUGGGUAUGAUUCUGAUUAGUGGGGUGAUUUUCCCUUUUGUACAGCUGGUGCUGUCGUGCUAGCCUGCCCUUCACACAGGAAGCCUCAGUCUUCCUAUGAUUAUUGUUCAUUUUCUCUUGUGACUGUUUUAUUUGACCAACGCCUGACUGUGUUGGCUGCUUUUUUAAAAAAAAAAAUUCUUGGCCAGUUUUUUUAACUUCAAAAUAAAAUGUAUUUUUGUAUGGAAACCCAUGCGUCUUGCCUAUUCUAAGUGGAACGUAUUUGUGUGUCUAUAUUUGGGUUAUUUUCCCCGUUUCCUCGGGGUGGCGUAGUUGUUGUAAAACGAGCCACAUUGCUGCACUCCCUCAUUAGCUUUGCUUACAAUAUCAAUAUGUAUAUGAACGGCUAGCCAUGAAAUAUAUCAAGAGAUUUGGUGAGAAUCUAUUACUUUGGUCCUGAUCGUGCUUGUGUACACUGUUUAUUACAUUUUUUAAUGACUUUUUUUUCUUUUCUUCAUAGAAUUAUUUCAGGCACAGAAGUAACUUUGUCUUUUUGUCAUAACCAAUAUGUAAAAAAUAUUAAACUUGCAUUUUUUGUUCUUUUACCUAAAGUAAAGUGUAACUUUAUGCACUUGGCAGCAGUGCUGUAGUACUUUGGAAUGGAACCUUAUGACCUUUGACCCGCACUGUGAAAAUUCAAAUGCCUUUUUUUUCAGUGUUGUUUGACAUGUUUCUGUGUUAUGUUUGUUUGAUGUUCUGUAAUGACUGAAUGUCAGCGCAGAAUUCACCAGACUUGUGUCAAUGGACCUGAGCAAGUUCUUUUAUGAGGGUCUUGACAAACACGCCUCAAAGCUGCUGUAUUUGUACCGCACAAGGCGCUAUGCAGACAACACAGAAAUGAGUGCCACAGUGGAGAACCUGGAUAAAAAUGCAUCAAAUCAACGGAAGAGGGUUGCAGUACAGUUGGGGCUGCCACUGUCCAUGCGGGAGAAUCCAUCUCAGUUCAUAAAGAUCUGUG